AGUGAACGCUGGCGGUAGGCCUAACACAUGCCAGUCGAACGGCAGCACAGUAAGAGCUUGCUCUUACGGGUGGCGAGUGGCGGACGGGUGAGGAAUACAUCGGAAUCUACUUUUUCGUGGGGGAUAACGUAGGGAAACUUACGCUAAUACCGCAUACGACCUACGGGUGAAAGCAGGGGAUCUUCGGACCUUGCGCGAUUGAAUGAGCCGAUGUCGGAUUAGCUAGUUGGUGGGGUAAAGGCCCACCAAGGCGACGAUCCGUAGCUGGUCUGAGAGGACGAUCAGCCACACUGGAACUGAGACACGGUCCAGACUCCUACGGGAGGCAGCAGUGGGGAAUAUUGGACAAUGGGCGCAAGCCUGAUCCAGCCAUACCGCGUGGGUGAAGAAGGCCUUCGGGUUGUAAAGCCCUUUUGUUGGGAAAGAAAAGCAGCAGGUUAAUACCCCGCUGUUCUGACGGUACCCAAAGAAUAAGCACCGGCUAACUUCGU
rnacentral:rRNA from 1 species